CCAGUUGUGUUGCUCAUGUUAGUACAAAACCUGUGAUAAAUCUGGUUCUGUAAUCACAUUCGAGGAGAAAAGAAUGGAAUUGGGGUUACAGCAACUGGAAUAUAUCUGUUGUCAUCUGUGAAGCAGAUAUUUCAUAUCGGUCAACCAACUUAUGAUGGCAGCUGAAUAAUUUUUGAAAGGAUGAUUUUGAACCUCACCUCUUGGAACUCAUGGUUUAUUAGCUUCAAUGGAAACAACAACCCUCUAUCCAGGAA
rnacentral:lncRNA from 1 species